rnacentral:rRNA from 1 species
UAGGGAAUCUUCCACAAUGGACGAAAGUCUGAUGGAGCAACGCCGCGUGAGUGAAGAAGGUUUUCGGAUCGUAAAGCUCCGUUGUUGGUGAAGAAGGAUAGAGGCAGUAACUGGUCUUUAUUUGACGGUAAUCAACCAGAAAGUCACGGCUAACUACGUGCCCG